CACAAAGAAUGCAGCGACACUUCUCCAGGGAGCCCACGGCCUUGAAGUUGGUUUUGGCUCUGUCCCAGUUGCCUCAAUCAGCUUUCAGAAGAGCUCUUGUUUUCCUCUGAAUUCCCAUCCGAGGGCAGAAAAGCAAGCAAGGCAAACGCUUCAGCUGGACCCAAUUUCUCUCUCGCUCUCUGCGGGAGAAAAACAGGCAAUUCCGCUCUCUGUCCACGGGUCAUGCUGCCCGGCUACCUCUCUCUAGCUGAAGAGCUAAUGUUGACUUUCCCUUGGGGGAUGAUGAGCUGGUGGAGGAGCAGCCAGAGAGGCAGAGGGAGCUCAGCGGGCUGUGUCUUGGUGUUAAUCCUCCUGCUGUUCGCUGUUGACUGAAAGAAUGAAUUCGCACCGGGCUCUGGGCUGCAGCAGCUUACAGGCUGGCAAUGGCCCUGCUCAAAAAGCGCAGCUGCAGCUCUCAAAAAUGACAAACGCCUUAUACCGAGUCAGAAAAUUGUUCCAUCUAGCUCAGCCUUGUCCACACUGACUGGCAGCUGCUCUCCAGGGUUUCAGAUGGGACAUUCCCCGGCCUACCUGAAGAAGCCAUUGGGGAUUGAAUGAGGGACCUUCUGCAGCUAUGGCCCCUUCCUGUGCCUGUUAUUCGACCUGGGCGCUGCUCUCUGUUGCUUUACCUGGGGCAACCAUCUCUCCCCUCCUCAAAGCUCCUCAUAGCUCAAAGGACACAGUCUCAAAAGGCGGAUAUUAUAGGGCUGACACAGUAACAAGUGUUAACUAAAGAACAGGGAACAACAAUGGGGGAGAGAGGCAUUGGCCCGCUCAUCUUACAGUGCUCCUCGUGAGCAACUGCGCCAUGAUCCAUGCGGUGCCAGAAUCAAUUCCUCUUGGUACCAACAGAAAGCGAACAUGACUCAGCCCAGCCCUGCUGGCUGCGUAUCAAAAAUGUGCUUGUUUUUGAGAAAAAAACGUUAACAAAACAAGACUGGAAGGUUUUGGACUUUGAACUGGAACAAGGAUAAAUAAAUAGCUGAUAAAUGGAGGCCAGAGCAGGAGCCAGGGGGCUUUGAAGUGCAUCAGGGGCAGAAGGCAAGAGGCACAGGCUGAGGGCCGGAGAACAUUCUGAGACAUGAUGAUCAUAAUAUUUUGCAACUGGUGGUGUAAGGACUAAGUCGGCGUAAGUAACCCUGUGAUCAUCGAGCUGGAUUUAUCAUUGGCGUAUCUGGCCCAGCAGUGCUUUGGUGCUGGAAAGAAUAUUCAAGACUUGGCCUCCAUGUGAGAAAAGGAGUUUAAACACAGCCUUGCAUGAGAGAGCUGGGAGCAGAGUCGGCAAGACUCACUGGCAAACCCCAUGAAGGUAUGGUACAAAGCACAGAAAGGGACUCAGCUCCAAUCUGUGGAAUCCCAGGUUAAAAGGGAGCUGGAGUAAGUGGGACACGGCGCGUUGUCCUUGUUCUGUCUCAUUGACAGAAGCAGGAUACUUUUAAAGUUAGUUUUCCCCAACCUGGUGCCCUCCAGCACAUGCGCUGGCUGGGGCUUAUGGGAGUUGUAUUUCCAAACAGCUGGAGGGCACGAGGUUGGGGAAGACUGCUUAAGGUGUUCUGGCACAUUUCUGUUUGCCUGGCUUGUUAGUAAAAUGGGGGUCCGUGCUCUACAACCAAAAACCCAUAAUGUAUUAUGAACAUUCUCCCAUAUGCAACUAUUUUGGUGGGAAGGCAGUCAGUGAGUCACACACAACAAUCUUAAAAAAAAAAAAAAGCCAAGUAUUUCCCACCUCCCACUGCAAUAAAUGAACUGUGGAACUCCCUGCCACAGGAGGCAACAGAUACCUUUGCUAAAGCAGGACUGAAAAUAGGAUGAGGAGGGGCACACACUGGUUUGCAAUUGGUAGUGUCCUCAUACCAUGCUUGCUAUGAGACUGAAGGAGCAGACAAGAGUCUUACUUAGCUCAGACUAAUGGACCAUUUAGCCUGCAACAGUAGAUGUCCCUGUGCAGAUUAUUAACAGCUAAUGUUCCUUCUUUCCAUGUCCAUCCAGCUCAGUUUCCCAAUUCUGUUUCCUCCAACUCACAUCACACUACGAGGGAGACCUUAGAUUUUAUGUAACUGCACUCAGAGGUUGUUGCUUAUCAAAUAGCUCAGAUUUGCUAGACAUAUCUUCUGAUUAGCUUAUGACUUCUCUGCAAAGCCUGGCUCUGUAUUGCACUGAAAAACAAGUCUGGAUAAUAAUAAUAACUUUCCCUAAUUAAGCUGUGGAAUCAAUUUGCAAUCCCAAUGUAUCAAGCAAACAGAAUUAUUCAUAUCCUAAUUUGGGGGGGAGGUAGUAAAAGAAAAGGAGAAUAAUUCCAAUGACGUCUUGCAAAAUUACUCGUAUUUUUUUCUUCUUUAUAGUCUCUUCCUCCUGAUGCCAACAAUAUGGCAUGAAUUGCAGAGCAGCUUGAGGUUUUGCUGAAGAACUACCUUGGCAAGGAGCAGAGUCCAACUGCAUGUAAAGUCUACAGAGGGAUGCACCAAAACUGGUGCUCACAAAACUAGUGCAUUUCUCCCAAAGCGAAGACUAAACCCUUUUAACUCUUCUUAAAAAAAUAUAUUAAAGAACGUACCACACACACAUAUUGCACUUGUCUCCAUAUUAAAAAAAACUGUGUAACCCCAUGUACGUCUCACCAAAGUCUCUUCAAAGGAACCUGUAUUAAAACUAAUAAAGCUAAUAGUUGUUAUACAGUAGUAUACACAAAUCCUCU